CUGGACUUUCCACAGUUCGACGGUAAGAACCCGCAGUUCUGGAAGGCUAGAUGCGAAACAUACUUCGAUGUGUAUGGGGUUCAGAGAGAUCUUUGGGUUCACGUGUCAAUGUUGCAUUUCACAGGAGCCGCGGCAUGCUGGCUCCAGUUGCACGAAUCGGACAGUAGAUCCUUUACCUGGGAGGGUCUCUGCACCGCUCUGAAUGAGAAAUUUGGUCGCGACCAAUACCAAUUGCAUCUUCGUCAGUUUAAUAUGCUGAAACAAUCUGGGUCGGUUGCGGAGUAUAUGAGUGUCUUUGAGGAGUUGAUGCACAACAUCCUAGCUCACAAUCCCAGCUUCGAC
rnacentral:rRNA from 1 species